rnacentral:rRNA from 1 species
GACGAACGCUGGCGGCGUGCUUAACACAUGCAAGUCGAACGGAAAGGCCCUGCUUUUGUGGGGUGCUCGAGUGGCGAACGGGUGAGUAACACGUGAGUAACCUGCCCUUGACUUUGGGAUAACUUCAGGAAACUGGGGCUAAUACCGGAUAGGAGCUCCUGCUGCAUGGUGGGGGUUGGAAAGUUUCGGCGGUUGGGGAUGGACUCGCGGCUUAUCAGCUUGUUGGUGGGGUAGUGGCUUACCAAGGCUUUGACGGGUAGCGGGCCUGAGAGGGUGACCGGCACAAUGGGGUCUGGAAGAGGGCCAAGACUCUUAGGGGGGGAAGAAGGGGGGAUUAUUAAAAAAGGGCCGGAAGCUUGAGGCAGAAACGCGGCGUGCGGGAGGAGGGCCUUCGGGUUGUAAACGGUUUUCGCCUGGAACGAGCCGUGAGUGACGGUAUUGGCGAAGGAACAACCGGUUACCUACGU